CUGCAAGAGGGCCCAAAUACUUCUGCUGUGCCCGCAGUGAAGUCCAUGUACCCUGGUGAUGGGCAGGUACCACCGGAGUGGCUGGGAUAUUUGCAUAUGUUAAUUGCAAUGUCAAGGUGUUUGUGCCUGCCGCACUCACUUCUUCAGGGGGAAGCAGCAACGACAGGAUUUGGAUCUACCUGUGCCGUGCUGGUGACGUCACAAGCAGCUAUUUCCAGCCCUGUUGCCAUGGAAACCACCAGGCCUCAGCACCAGUUAGCAGUUCAAUAUAUAAUUUACUUAUUCUUUUUCACCUAAGUGAUUAGGACUCAAAAUACAGAAGCAUUUCACACACCCUCAAAUCAUCUGAUUGUUUCAUAGGAAUUUCUCAAAGGGAAACGUUGUGGCUCCUGGGAGAUUUCACAGUGCUGUCACCAUCUGAAGGAGAUGAGCCAACAGUGAAGGAGGAGAUAAAAGCUUAGCACAGGAGCUGCCACAUCUGGCAGCGCCUUUGGUCCGUCCUGCCCAGGACACCAGAGUCCCCUGUGUCCUCCAAUGCCACUGACAGGGCACAGCGCCUGCCUCAUUCUGUGCCAGUGGUGACGGGCAGCACCAGCAUACUCAGCAAGUCUCCCCUGGCUCCCGUGAGUGCAUUAAGGAACAAGUCUCUCCUCCUUAUUAAUGUUAGCAGGAGUGCUUAGGGGUGCUGCUAAGCAAUGCAACACCUACCAGAGCCCUGGGGAAGGCAGCUGCUCCAUCUCCACCCCUUCUUACAAUUCAGGAUUGCAGUGGUUGCCCAUAUUUUCCACAACUUUCUUAACUAGUGCUGCGGUCAGAGACUUGACAGCAGGGAAAAGGGGACAACCAGCACCGAGAACAACCAAACAAGGCCAAAGGAGUUAUUGGGCACAGUUCUAAAUCAGCCUCAGUGGUCUGGCAUGUCUCAAAACUUGAAGGAAAAAAAAAAAAA